rnacentral:antisense_RNA from 1 species
CACCGUCUGAGGCCAAUUCGAGCCUACUGGAUCCCUGGUUCCAACCCAGUAGGAUCACAGAAGCAGGGCCAUCUGCAGCUAAAGGACAUACUUGUGGAAGAAGAAAAUUACAAAAUGAAAGAACUGGGAUGCAAGAAGUAAUGUUCCCAACAUGAUGUGAACAACAUCUGUGCUGGUUGAAUGAAUGAAUGGUGUUGAAAGCAUCUACAUCAGGGGUGUCCAAUCUUUCGGCUUCCCUGGGCUACACUGGAAGAAGAAUAAUUUUCUUGUGCCACAUAUAAAAUACACUAACACUAAUGAUAGCUGAUGAGCUAAAAAAAAAAAAAAUCGCAAAAAAAUCUCAUGUUCUAAGAAAGUUUAUGAAUUUGUGUUGGGCCACAUCCAAAGCCAUCCUGGGCUGCAUGCAGCCUGCAGGCCACGGGUUGGACAAGCUUGACUAUAGCUUUAAAGUGAUCUUAAUCUAAUCAAUUCUUCCCCACUCAGAAGAAACCUACUACAUCAGAGUCUAUUGAGAAUCUAUCUCCCUAAUCACCCUCAGGCACAGAGUUAUUAUAUAUUGAUAUCAUACACACUAAAAAAUUCCAUCAUACAGGUCUAGAAAUACUUCCAUAAUACAGUAAUAUUUUAAUAGGGUCAUAACACACAGCCACCCAUUCUGCCUGUAGCCAGUCAUGGAGCAAUACAUUUUGUACAUAACCUGUAAUUUCUUCUGGAGAGUGUAAUUACAAUGCCAAUAUGACAUCUUAUUUUUAUUAUUAUUAUUUGUUUAGUUAGUUAGUUAGUUAUUUUUUGAGACAGAGUCUCACUCUGUUGCCAGGCUGGAGUGCAGUGGUGCAAUCUUGGCUCACUGCAACCUCUGCCUCCCGGGUUCAAGCGAUUCUUCUGCCUCAGCCUCCCGAGUAGCUGGGACUACAGGUGCCCACCACCACACCUGGCUAAUUUUUGUAUUUUUAGUAGAGAUGGGGUUUCACCACGUUAGCCAGGAUGGUCUAGGGGUUGAUAAACUACAGUGCACAGGCCAAAUCUGGUUUACUGCCUGAUUUUGUAAAUAAAGUUUUAUUGGAACACA